UGAAAUGCGAAAAGUAAUGCGAUUUGCAUGAAUCUGUGAGUCAUCAAGUCUUUGAACGCACCUUGCACCGUAUGAGCAAUUGUACGGUAUACCUGUUUGAGAAUCGUAAAACACCCUUUCCACUAGCUAGUGGAAGACUUGUCGGCUGUGCGGCCCCUUACCGGGAAGCACUCUGAUUAAAUGUAGUAGGUCUGGAUCAGGCUGGUGGCCUGGGACACUGUGUGCUAGAGACGCUAGCUUCGGCUCGCUGUCUUCUCACGGUGCGUCCCGGGCUAUUCAAGCCCGCCUGGUCGUCAGGGCCUUUACAGCGGCCAGCGGUCCCCUUUGGGGGGCUGCCGGUCACAAACCCACUUUUUGAUCUCAAAUCAGGUAAGGCUACCCGCUGAACUUAA
rnacentral:misc_RNA from 1 species